rnacentral:rRNA from 1 species
GCGGUGAAAUGCGUAGAUAUCAGGAGGAACACCUGUGGUGUAGACAGCUUACUGGACCACGACUGACGCUGAGACACGAAAGCGUGGGUAGCAAACAGGAUUAGAUACCCUGGUAGUCCACGCCCUAAACGAUGCAUACUUGGUGUGAGCCAUUCAUUUGGUUCGUGCCGGAGCUAACGCGUUAAGUAUGCCGCCUGGGGAGUACGGUCGCAAGGCUGAAACUCAAAUGAAUUGACGG